rnacentral:lncRNA from 1 species
CCGUUCCUUAACAUCCAAUAAAAAGACAGACAACACGAAAGUGUGAUCUUAGAACUGUUUCUUUUGUUAUCUCUACCCAGGAGUUGUUAACAAUACAUAGACCUGGUGGCAUUCAUUCAAGGACCACAGGUCACUAUCAACCAUUGUUGGAAGUCUGAUCAGGGCUCAAAAUAGGAAUCUACAGGCUGGAGGCCAGAUCAGGCAAAGCUAUUUUGGACUAGAAUGGAAAUGAACAGUUGUAUGAGCUCAUAGAGGGGAAAAGUCUCCGUGGGGAUCCCAUGAUGAUUGGGAGAAGACAGAUGUGUGGCCAGCUGUUCAGCUACAUUGUGAGUCAUCUCCAAGUGCACAUGGGUAAUCGGCAAGGCUGCUAAUCCAUUCACAAACAAUCAAGACUAGACCAUAUGCCAUGGCUGGACUAUGUGAGAUGGCAGCUCAUAAGGAAAGAAGAAGAAUGGAAAUUCACUAUUGUCAAAACAAAAAAAACACUUAUUCUGUGUAAAAUGCUAACAGAAAUCCAUACAUAAUGUCUGUGUCUUCUGAAGCCUUGCCACUGCACCACUUCCCAUUAAAGUGUUUUCAUUAGAAAAGAGAAAGAUAUUUCCUUUCUAUUUUUCUAUUAAUUUUUGAGCUAAAACUGUUUUGUCAGAAAGAGUAGCAGUCUGGUGUAGAUGCUUCUGGGACUGUUUAUAUGGAAGAAAGCAGACAGACAGCAUUUCUACUCUGAAACUAAGAAUCAUGCAUGCGGCGUUCUAAUUACAGCUCUAAAAUUUGCACAGGUGUGUUGUCUGUACAUUG